ACAGUGUACAUUUCCUCAUCCCCAGGACCCAGCCAAGGGCCUGCUCCGAUGUCAGCCUCCGUUUCCGUGGUGAGGAAUCUCCGGGGUGUGUGGGGGCUUAUUGCUCAGUGGCUUCGUGGCUCUCUUUUGGGGGUGGGUCUGGCCUGAGAUUGGCACUUCUGGCCUGUUGCUGUGGGCUUCCCUUCCUUUUCCACUGCGUGCCAGGCCCUGCCCCAGGAGCAGGGGUGCUGCCUGUGGGAGCCACAUGAGGAACAGACCUUUACCCACCAGGAGGCCAGCGGUGGGCUGCGGGAAUAGGUGGAGGGCUCCCACCCAGCCUGGGGCUUUCCAGUUGAAAGACGCAUGGUGGUGGGCUGAGGAGUGAGCUUGGCGGAAGACUGUAUUCCGGACAUGGGGAGCAGCCUCUGCGAGACCCCAGAUGACUUGGGCCUGCGGGCAUGGUAAGGAGCUCAGUUCCAUCCCAGAGGCAGUAGGAGCUGUACCACUGGAAGGUUUCUGAGCCAGGAAACGUUGGGCAACUCCCCUGUGGCCCCUGUGUGUGGGAAGGAUCAGAGGCAGCCAGGAUGGAGUAGGCAGGACUUCAGUGGCUGCGGCGGGCACAGGACGGGAGUGGCCUGGCUGGGGGGCAGUGACUAGAGGCACAGGCUGGGUGGCCACUUGACUGGCCCCUGGGUGCUGGGGAGCCUGCCUCACCCUGUUGGGCUUGUGCUAGGGGGCAGGUAGUGGUGGGGUGGGAAUCCCAUAGGCCCUGUUUCUCUCAGGCCCAGAAGGGGGGUCCCAGGGGUCUGCUGUUGUACCCCUUCUGCCAAGGAUGGCUCAUGGAGGGACCCUGAAUCCGUCCCUUGCCUUCUCUGGUAUGGUCCCUCUUCUGGACAGGAAUUGAUUGGGUGGGGGACACUCAGCUGUCCUCCUCCUUCCUGGCCUGCCAGAUUCUGGCUGCUGGCUCAGGCUCUUCUCGUGGAUGGGCUGCUGGUCCCCCUCCUGCUACUUGAUGGAGCCUGUCAUUACCCCUCCCACCCCCAACUUCCCACCUGAUUACAGGUCCUGAGCAGGAGCCCUGUGUCUGCCCUUCCCGUGGAGGCCACCCACAGGCUGGUGCUGCGGAGGCCAGGGUGAGAUGGUUUUGCCCAAACGUUGGUUCCCUGUUCAGAGUUCAUGUCAUUUACAAGCUGUGUGUCCCUGGAGAAGUCCCUUAACCUCUCUGAGCCUCAGUGUUCUCUGGGAAGUGAGGACAGUGCGUGAAAUAAUGAGUGUGCAUGUGCAGUGCCGUGCUGGGCACAGAGGUGGUGCUGACAAGUGGCUGCUGCUAUUGUGUGUCGAUUGUGACAGUAGGUGGGGGGCAAGUAGAAAGUAGAAAGGCCCUGAGCGAGGCACUGGUCUAUGCCAACCCAGCUCUGUUGGAUGUGCUGUGUGGCCCUAGGAGAGUGUCACCACCUUUCUGGACCCCAAGCUCUCCCUGCUGUCUCAGGCACAUGAUGGAGAUGGUGGUGCUUGGGACAACUCUGAGACCUGCGAGAAUGGAGUCCCUGCCCCGACUCUGCCUCUGCUGGUCCCUGGACUGUAGGGUGGGUGGGGUCGGCACCCCCCUCUUUCCCCCACCUCCCCAUGCUGGACCUGCUCCCUAUGCCCUGGGAACCAGGCGGGCAGGUUCUGAGCCUGCCCCACCCUACAGGGUGCUGCUACCUGCCUGGUUUCAGUCGGCAAACCUCUCAGCCCUGAAACCCUGAAACCGGGCUGGGCCUCGUGGGUGAGGUGUGUCCCUGGAGCCCACUGGAGAGACCGGAUGAGCCAGGAACGGGUCUGGCACAGCGCCCUCCACUGGGGCCAAACCAGGGCUGGCGCCGGCGUGCAGCCCCCAUGGUGGACAUGAGCUGGAUGUGGUCGCAGCUGGAGAUGACUCUCUUCCUCUUGGGUCCCCCGUCCGUGUGGAACAGGGUUUCAGGCUUAGGCAUCAGGUCGGGACCAGGGUGCAGAUCCUACCUCUGCCUCUUCUCAGCAGAGUGAUUUGGCAGAGGUACCCAGUUCUCGGUCACCUGGUCUGAAAUGUUCUGCCAGUACCAAUACCACCUGGCCCGAGGUUGAGUUGAAGAAUCGGGGGCACGUGUCCAAGCAAAAUGCUUAGCACAGGAGCGGCACAUGGUGGCUUUGGGGAGCGUCAUGACAAGGCAAAGAAGGAACUCCUUAGCUUGGCAUUCGAGGCCCUCCGGGAUACGCCUUUUUAGGUCCAUUUUCUGAGAACCCCUGGACUCCUUCCUCCAUUCUCAGCUCAGCAAGCCUCCUCUCCUCUCUGAGCCUCAGUUCCCCUAUCUGCACAGUGGGCCUGGUACCCCAUCCCCCAGCUCCCCAAGCCUCCAGGCCACCCUGGGGCCUCCCCAGUUCUUGCCCAGCCUCACUAUCUGCACAGGAAGUAGCGUGGCCCUUAACGUUGUCAGUUUGGAAAAUCAGAGAUUAAUUAACGUUCCGGCCGCCUUGGCUGCUGUUGGAGCUGGUCCCAGGGUGGGCCAGGCUGCAUGCUCAGCCUCUGUUUCAAGGGCCUCACUGUGGGUUAGAGGAACCUUGACAAGAGGCACUUCUUAGGAGCCCCCAUUGGUGAAGUGCCCCCUUCUUGCCAGGGUAAAGGGCUUCAUGCUCAGUAGCCCGUUUGUCUCAUAACCCAUUCAGGCAGAUACUGUUGUGCCAUUUUGCAGAGGGGAAAAUAAAGGCUCAGAGAGGAGAAGUGCCUUAGCCAAGGCCACACAGCUCAUAGGUGGCAGAGCUGGGACUUGGACCCAGAGCCUGUGUGUCCAUGUAGAAAUGGUGCCCUGUUUGCAGGUGAUGGGGGGUGCCUAGUUCUCCCCCCGGGUCCUUUUGUCUGGCCCGAGGGGGCUGUGAUCAGCUGCUGGUCAGAGCUGACUCACCAGCAGCUCACAGGAGGGGCUGAGGCCAGCAUCCCGGUCAGUUCCUGGGGCCAGGGCAGCACUGAUUAGAUUGUCGUUGAGAUUUUCGGUCAGCUGAGCUGACAGGGACCCACCCUCCCAUUUUAAAGGUGGGAAAAUUAGGGCCCAGUGAGGAUGAAGAAGUAAGGCUCCAGUGGGUCGGAUGAUUCUCCACCAGCUCCGACCCGACAGGGGCCAGUGGAGCUGGAAACCCUAGACCUCAGUCCCGGCUCUGACACCUGCCAGCUGUUGCCUCGGGAAAGUCACUUUGCCCUCUGAGCCUCGGUUUCCUCGUCUGUAAGAUGAGGAUAGUAAAGCCUUGUGUUGCCUCAUUCUUGGGAUUGGGCAAGACCCCAGCAAGAGAGUGGAAAACCAGGGGUUUGAAAGCGGCAUUGCGGGUCCUCGUGAGGGGUCACUGGGAUGAGAGGCUUUGCGGGGUAGGGCUCUGUGCAGGCUUUGGUGGGAGACAAGGUCCAAAACCCACCUCUUUCCCCUCCGUUGUGUGUCUUUGAGUGAGUCAGUGAGUCUCUCUGAGCCUCACUUUUCUUCCUUUCUUUUUUUUUGACUGACCCAAAUUAGAUCUUUAUUGUAUUUUUCCACAUAUCUAUCAUUCCCAAAAGAUCAGUCAGCUCGAUCCUUAAUUUUUCUUACUAUGAGAUGUCCCUAAUACACAGUCUUUGUAUAAAUUAUCCAUUUUAAGUAUAUAGUGAAUUCCAGAUGUGAUCACAACUGCAUUUCUUUCUUUUUUUUUUUUUUUUUGAGAUGGAGUCUCACUGUGUCUCCCAGGCUAGAGUACGAUGGCGCAAUCUCAGCUCACUGCAGCCUCCAUCUCCCAGGUUCAAGCAAUUAUCCUGCCUCAGUCUCCCAAGUAGCUGGGAUUACAGGCGCCCACCACCAUGCCUGGCUAAUUUUUGUAUUUUUGGUAGAGAUGGGGUUUCACCAUGUUGGCCAGGCUGGUCUCAAACUCCUGACCUCAAGUGAUCUGCCUGCCUCGGCCUCCCAAAGUGCUGGGAUUACAGGCGUGAGCCACUGUGCCCGGCCGCACAACUGCAUUUCUUUUUUUUUUUUUUUUUCUUUGAGAUGGAGUCUCACUGUGUCUCCCAGGUUGGAAUGCAGUGGCGCGAUCUUGGCUCACAGCAACCUCUGCCUCUCAGAUUGAAGUGAUUCUCCUGCCUCAGCCUCCUGAGUAGCUGGGAUUGCAGGCACGCAUCACCAUGCCUGGCCACACAACUGCGUUUCUAAAUAGCCAUGUGACACUCACUGAGUGCUUCCUGGGUGGCAGCCGCUGUGUUUAGCCUGAGUCUCACUUUUCUUAUCUGUCAGAUGGGAUACUAAUACCUGUUAGGAUUAAACAGGCUGUGGAGCAUGCAGUAAGUUGUCGGUGGAUAGGCACCUAUCCCUGGCAAACUCUGGGGAUCCAGGGGCAGAGUUAGGAGGACUGGCUUGUGAGGGGGUCCUUCUCAGUCACCCUCAAUAACCCGAUAGGAUGCAGCCCUUGGAGACAGGGUUCCAGUCAUAUGGGGAGCAGAGCCCCCCUGAGAUCCACAGAGCACCCCCUUAUUCAACCAACUUGCUGAAAGGGUUGGCUCUCAGCUCCACAACAAACCCACAAGUGUGUGUUGUGAGUUUUGCCCUGGACCUGCAUCCCCAAAAGUGGCCUCUUCAGAGGUGGAUGCAGCCCAGUACCCAUAGAGACACCAGGUGGAGACAGAGGCCUGGGAUGGGAGUGGCUUCCUGAGGUCCCUGGGCACAGAUCAGGACUCAACUCCACUCCCAGAAUUCACACACUGCCCUCUUGGGCUAAGAAGGGAACCGGGACCCCAACAGGCAGGCGCCUUUUGUGACAACCUCUGUGAGGGGCCUCGGCAGGUUUUGUGGACUGACAGAGUGGCCUUUCCUGAGCUGUUUAAUUGUUCUGAGCCUCGGUUCAUACAGCUGUAAAGUGAGGGUUGUAUUUCCCUCUGGGCCAUUUGAAGAAUGGUGUGUGUUGGGGCAAAGAACAGGUGGGCCCUGUGUCUGAUGGGCGUGGGCUUACCUCCUGCUGGCAGAAAGCGAAAAGGGGGCAACCAACGGCUCUGGGCGCCAGCAGAGGCUAAGGGUUAUGCCAGGGGAUCCCAGCCACGGUUAGGCAGGACCCCCCAUCAAACGCAGGGACCUGCUGUCCCCCUUGGCUUCCCCGCAUCUGUGAUCUUUGUUUGUGGAAGGCCUCCCAUCAUUAUCAUUAUUAUUUUGUGAUUCUUGUCCCGGUUCUUCAGAAAACAAAUCUUUAUUGGAUUAUUUCAAACUAUAAAAGUUAUACUGCUAAUAAACAUUUCAAACAGUCUCUUAUGACUGCUGUUCUCAGCUGAGGACACUGAUGAUUAACAGUGACGUUUAUGGAGGCCUGGAGCUGAGCACCUCAAACGCUAUCCGGUCCUGCAGAGCUCAGAGCUCGGGAACAGCUUCGGAGAGGCCCAUUUACAAAUGAAGAAUGGUGGUAAGCCUGAGUGUUGGAGGCCCUGUCCAACAUCUGCCCCAAAUCCGUGGCGUGUGGUGUCUCCAGAGGCUGCGGCAGGAAAUGGAAAGAGCUGCUGUGG